UUAUUAGUUUAGAAUAUGAUUGGGGACUACGAGCAAUAGCUUAAAAACCCAAGAAUUUGGCGGUGUCUUAUUCAAUCAGAGGAAUCUGUCUCGUAAUCGACAACCCACGAAAAAUAUACCUAUUAUUUAAAGCUUUAGCUUGUGUACUGCCGACUAGAUAGGCCCUUAAAGUAACCUAUAAUAAAUUUAUAUAAAAUCAUGUGUCAGGUCAAAGUGCAGGUUAUAUGUAGGAGAAGAUGGAUUACAAUCUAUAAAAUAGUCAAAAUUAUAAAAUAAUAAAAUAUAUUUAAGAAGAAUUUGAUAGUAAUGUUUUU
rnacentral:rRNA from 1 species